rnacentral:lncRNA from 1 species
UUUAUUUAUUUAUUUAUUGGAGUUCGAUUUGCCAACAUAUAGUAUAAGUGUAUGUGGGUAGUUUUAGACAGGACGUACUAGCUGGUCAGUUUUGUAUUAUUUAUUAUAAAUAAUAAUUAGAUUGAUGGCUUACAACUGGUUUUGGUGGUGCCUGUGAAGAGUUGAAAGUAGAGGUUGGACAUGUGCCGACUAGAUCACUGUAAGAAGCCCCUACCCCAAGCAGACGUUUGGCUUCCUGAUUCCAAGGUUCUUUGCAUGCAUGUCAGUGGUGGUUUGAGGGCCAAAGACAACACAGGUCCUAAGCAACUCAACACAGUCAUGGAAAGAUAAAGAAGUUUGUACCGCAGAUAACCUAUUACUACUGUAUUACAUCCUUUGCCCAUAUCAAAGUUGUUUCCUGAUGAUAAAGUGUUUUGAGUCUUUUGUAUCCUUUUAACCAUUAAAUCACUUAAAGUAAUUAACAUGUUAUUAACAUAGCUGAGUAGCAUUUCAUUUUACUAAAAUAUAUAAUUUAUUUAUUAAUGUACCUACUUCAUCAUUCCAGUUUUAGGCUAUGGUACUAUGGAAAUUCUUGUACAAGUCAUUUUGUGGAUAUAUAUUUUCAUUUCUCUUGGGAAAAUGCCUGUUAGUUUAUGUUAGUUAUCUAUCAUUGCAUAGCAAAUUACCAUAAGCUUAGCAUUUGAAACAAUACACAUUUUAUUUUCUCACAGUUUUUGUGGAUCAGAAAUCUUUGUACUAUUUAAAUGGAUCCUCUUCUUCACAGUCUUCAAGCUCUAAUCAAGAUGUUGACUAGAGCUGGUUUUCAUCUGAAGGUUUGAUUGAGAAAGAAUCUAAUUCCAAGCUCACGUGGUUGCUGGCAGGAUUAAGUUCCUUGUAGGCUGUUGAACUGAGGGCCUCAGUUUCUAUUAGGCUGUAGUCUGGAGGUCAUCCUCUGUUCCUUGCCAUAUGGGUUUCUCCAAGAUGUCAGCUUGGUUUAUCAAAGUGUACAAGCUGGAAAGGCAACUAAGAGAGCCUGCUAGCUAGCUAGGACAACCUUUUGUAAUCUAAUUAUGCAAGUGGCAUUUCAAUGUUGCUGCAUUCUAUUAUUAGAAACAAGUUACUCAAGGGGAGGGGAUUAUACAAGGCCACGAAUAGCAGGAAACAGAGAUUAUUUGGCACCACCUUAAAGGCUGCCUACUACAAGAUUUGAAUUUCUGGAUCACAGAAUGGGUGUAUAAAUAACUGCAUACAGAACUGAUAAGCUCCUUUCUACAGUAGUUGUAUUUCUUGACAUUCCCACCAGCAAUGUAUGAGAGUUCCAGUUGCCUUAACUCCUUUCCAAUGCUUGGUAUUAUCAGACAUUUAUCUUUUAACCUAACUAGUGGUAUAAAAUUGUAUCCCAUUAGGAAUUUAGUUUACAUUUCUUUUAUGGCUAAUGACGUUGAGCAUCUUUUAAUUGUUUAUUGGUCAUUCAUGUAUCUCUUUUGUGACAUGUCUAAAUUGUUUCCUUUUUUGUGGGGGGUGGUUUAUCUUUAUAUUAUUAAUUUGUAAGGAUUCUUUCUGUAUUUUAGUUGUAAGUCCUUUGUCAAAUAAAUAUAUCACAAAUAUUGUCUCCCAAUCUGUAGCCUGAUUUUUAUUUUUCUUAAUGGUGUCCUUCAGAGGAUUAAAAUUAUACAAUGUAUCUUUUUUGACUACAACAAGCUUAAUUUAAAAACUAUUAACUAUAUGAUAUCUGAAAAUUCCUGAAUAUUUAGAAAUUAAGCAUGCCUCUAAAUCACAAAAAUAAGUUUUAAAUAUUUUGAAGUAAAAGAAAAUGAAAACAUAAUACACAAAAAUGUGUGAGAUGCAAUUAAAGUGGUAUUUAAAGGUAGAUUUGUAGUUUUAAAUGCUUAUAUUAGAAAAGAAGAAAGGUUUAAAUUAAUGACCAAAAGUUCCCCCUUAAAAAGCUGUGGGGGAAAACAGCAAAGUAAAUCCAAAGUAGGUAGAUAGAUUAAAAUAAUACAUAUAAGAACAGAAAUCAUCAUAGUUCUUAAAAAGAUAAAGAAUAAAAGAAACUAACAAAGCCAAAAGCUACUUUUUCCUGAAAAGAUAAACAAAACCAACACCUAACUAGAACAACUAAAGGGGAAAAGGCAAUACAAACCACCUAUAAUUGAUAUGAACAAGGUCACUUGAUGGGAUGAGCAUUGGGUGUUAUACUAUAUGUUGGCAAAUUGAAAUUUUUUAAGAUUUUAUUUAUUUAUUUAUUUAUUUAUUUAUUUAUUUAUUUAUUUAUUCAUGAGAGACACACACACACACACAGAGGCAGAGAUGCAGGCAGAGGGAGAAGCAGGCUCCCUACAGGGAGCCCAAUGUGGGACUUGAUCCCGGGACUCCAGGAUCUCGACCUGAGCCAAAGACAGAUGCUCAACCACUGAGCCACUCAGGUGUCCCUGGCAAAUUGAAUUUAAAUAAAAAAAUAAUUAAAGAAAGGAAAAGAUCUUAUCACCACAGAUCUUGUAGACACUAAAAGGAUAAUAAAACUGUUAUGAACAACUUUAUGCCAGUAAACUUGACCACUAGAAAAAAAUGAAAACUUUCUUGAAAAAUAAAACUUCUUAAAAUGAAUACAAGAAGAAAUAGAAAAAAUAAAGAGCCCUACAUCUAUUUAAGUAGUUUAAUUCAUGAUUAAACACCAUUCCCCAAAGAAAACCUGGGUCCAGAGAGAUUCACUGUUAAAUGUGAUCAAACAUGUAAAGAAGAAAUAAUUUUAUCUUACAAAAACUCUUUAAUAAAAUACAGUAGAAUCCUUUCCAACUAAUCUAAUGAGGCUACAUGCCACUUUUUACAGUUUUGAUGUCUAAUAAUUUUCUUAAUGUAUCCUGAAUAUUUUGGACAGAAAGUUUUGGACAAAUAGUUUUAGAGACUCUGUAUUCUGUUAUCUUCCUUCAAAGAGAAUUGAGUUUUUAUUUUAGUAGGGAGUUAAAUUACUGCCAGAGCACUUUGACAUUUUCAAGGUUUAAUUUUGUUCUUUUUUAAAAAAAAUAUUUAUUUAUUUAUUUGAGGGAAAGAAAGUGAGAGAGAGAAUGAAAAGGGAGAGCAGCAGAGGGAGAGAGAGAAGCAGGCUCCCC